CGACAUCCUAUAGGAUUUUAUCCGACAUAUCGGAUAUCGGAUAUCGGAAUCGGAUAUUUUAUCGGAUAUUUUCUCUUAACGAUAACGAUAUUGGAAUAGGCCUUUUCGUUAGGUUAAUAUCCGAUAUCCGAUAGUCUAGGGGUGUACUUGUAAUUUCCUACCCCUAGAUAUAUGUUGCCCGCUGCCGACAGGGAGAACCUAAUCGUAAUCUAAUCUUCUGAGUUCUAGAUAUUUUGGCAGUGGGAAUUUUUGGAGGAGAAAACGAGGACUCGAGGAGGGAUAAGGAGAUUUGAAGAAGUUGAACAGAGGUCGGUGUGGAUCUUGCUGUGCGAAAAUCCUCAAGGGCUGAAGACUGGUGCUUGUAACUCUGCAGCAGGAUCUGCAAACACGGAGUUUGGAAAUACCAAG